AUUGAACGCUGGCGGCAUGCCUUACACAUGCAAGUCGAACGGUAACGGGCCUUCGGGUGCCGACGAGUGGCGAACGGGUGAGUAAUGUAUCGGAACGUACCUUUCAGUGGGGGAUAACGUAGCGAAAGUUAUGCUAAUACCGCAUAUUCUGUGGGCAGGAAAGCAGGGGAUCGCAAGACCUUGCGCUGAUUGAGCGGCCGAUAUCAGAUUAGCUAGUUGGUGAGGUAAAGGCCCACCAAGGCGACGAUCUGUAGCGGGUCUGAGAGGAUGAUCCGCCACACUGGAACUGAGACACGGUCCAGACUCCUACGGGAGGCAGCAGUGGGGAAUUUUGGACAAUGGGGGCAACCCUGAUCCAGCCAUGCCGCGUGAGUGAAGAAGGCCUUCGGGUUGUAAAGCUCUUUCGGCCGGGAAGAAAUCGUAUCAGCUAAUACCUGGUGCGGAUGACGGUACCGGCAUAAGAAGCACCGGCUAACUACGUGCCAGCCGCCGCAGUAAAAC
rnacentral:rRNA from 1 species